rnacentral:lncRNA from 1 species
UAGGGCUACGAUUAAAACUAGAGUUAGGACUCAGAUUAGGGCUAGGUUUUUGGUUAGGUUAGGGCUAGUGUAGGACUAUGGCUAAUGUAAGAAGUAGGGUUAUGAUUAGAGAUAGCAUUAGGUGUAGGUUAAGGUCUAGUGUUUAGAUUAGGUUUAGAGAGAUGAUUAGAGAUAGGGUUAGUAUUAGGGUCACAGUCAGGAUCAGUGUUACUGAUCAGGGUUAGGGAUAUGACUCUAAUUAGGGCUAGGAUUAAGGCUAGGUGUAGGGUUAGGUUUUGUGUUAGGGUUAGGGUAAGAAUUAGGGAUAGGGCAAAUGUCAGGUCUAGGGUUACCAUUAGGCUAGGGUUAGGUUAAAGCUAUGGCUCAGUUUUGUUUUAGAGCUAGGGCUAGGGUUAGGGCUAGUUUUAGGAUUAGCGAUAGUGUUAGGGCUAGUGGUAGGAUGAGGUUUAGGCUUAGAUUUAUUGUUAUGGUUAGAUCUAGGUUUAGGGUUGGGGUCUGCAUUAGGGUUAAGGUUAGGGCUAGUGUUAGGGUUAUGGUAACAGAUAGGGUUAGAACUAGAAAUAGGACUAGGGUGCGAUUAGAGUUAUUCUUUGGGCUAGGGUUAGGGGUAGGUUUACGGUUAGGGCUAAAUUAAGGCUAAGAUUAGUGCUAGGGUUAGUGUUAGGGUUAGGCCUAGGGUUAGGGCUAGGGUUAUGGUAAAUGUUAGGGUUAGGGUAAGAUUUAGGGGAAGGCGGUUAUACCUAGGUUUACAGCUAGGGUUUGGGUUAGAAUUUGAUUUAGGGGUAGGGUUAGGGUUCGGGUUAGGAUUAAGGCUAGGUUUAGUGCCAGGAUGAGGGUAUGUGUUAGGGCUGGGGCUAAGAUUAGGGCUAGGGCUAAUGUCAGGUCUAGGUUCAAAGUAAGUGGUAAUUUUAUGGUUAGGUUAUGGCUAGGUCUAGUGUAAGGUUUAGGUUUUGUGUAAGGGUCAAGUUUAGAGCAAGGUGUUUUAUUAGGGUAAGUGUCUGUGUAUGGUUUGGUUUAGGUUAAGGUUUAGGGUUAAGGUUUGUGUUAGCAUUAGGGUUCGGUUUAGGAUUCAGGUAAU